UGUGUGUGUGUGUGUGUGUGUUGAACUAGUAGACAAAGACAUAAAGCAGAUUUGAGAAUAAAACCUCUAUUGUAAUCCAGAACUCAUGGCUCUGUAUGAGUUUAUAUAUAUAUAUAAAAGAAAGAG